rnacentral:rRNA from 1 species
CCUACGGGUGGCAGCAGUGGGGGAUAUUGGACAAUGGGGGGAACUCUGAUCCAGCGACGCCGCGUGAGUGAAGAAGUAUUUCGGUAUGUAAAGCUCUGUCAGCAGGGAAGAAAGAAAUGACGGUACCUGACCAAGAAGCCCCGGCUAACUACGUGCCAGCAGCCGCGGUAAUACGUAGGGGGCAAGCGUUAUCCGGAAUUACUGGGUGUAAAGGGAGCGUAGACGGUUAAGUAAGUCUGGAGUGAAAGGCCGGGGCUCAACCCCGGGACUGCUCUGGAAACUAUUUAACUUGAGUGCAGGAGAGGUAAGCGGAAUUCCUAGUGUAGCGGUGAAAUGCGUAGAUAUUAGGAGGAACACCAGUGGCGAAGGCGGCUUACUGGACUGUAACUGACGUUGAGGCUCGAAAGCGUGGGGAGCAAACAGGAUUAGAUACCCUAGUAGUC